GUCCUUUUGAUUUUUAUAUAAGGUUUAACCUGCCCACUGAAUUUAUUUUAAUGGCCGCAGUAUUUUAACUGUGCAAAGGUAGCAUAAUCAUUAGUUUUUUAAUUGAAAGCUUGUAUGAAUGGUUGGACGAAAUAUUAACUGUUUCAUUAAAAUUUAUAUUAGAAUUUUAUUUUUUAAUUAAAAAGUUAAAAUGUAUUUAAAAGACGAGAAGACCCUAUAGAUCUUUAUAAUUUAAAAUAAUUUUAUUUAUAAAGAUUAAUUAAAUUAAAAAUUAUUAAAUUAUUUUAUUGGGGUGAUAGUGAAAUUUAAUAAACUUUCAUAUUAUAUUAAACAUAAAUAUAUGAUUCUAUGAUCCAUUAUUAGUGAUUAAUAAAUUAAGUUACCUUAGGGAUAACAGCGUAAUUUUUUUAGAGAGUUCAUAUCGAUAAAAAAGAUUGCGACCUCGAUGUUGGAUUAAGAGAUAUUUUUAGGUGUAGCCGCUUAAAGGUUAAGUCUGUUCGACUUUUAAAUUCUU
rnacentral:rRNA from 1 species